CAGACCGGGGUGAUGUCGUGAAAGGACAUUUUCCUAUCGUUAAAGGACGUGGUUGAUGGCUGGAAAGGACAUUUUCCCUUCGUUAAAGGUUCUCACUGAAGGGGAUAAUUCUCACUGAAACUACAGAAUAAAGCCGCCAGUUAAAAUCAUGGAACGGUUGUGCUCGUGGUUACUGAAGGGAGCUACAAGACCAUUAUUCGUUUCGAAUUCACCAACUCAAAGACGCUUGCCCGCUCCAUCAUAACUCCGUAAGUUUUCCCUCCCUGUGUAGAUCAAACGUCCUGCCUGUAAAUCCUGGGUAUGCCCACAUCAUUAAUGAAUAAGAUGUGUAGAAAACUGUUUAGCCAUAGUUAAAGGCCUUUCAUAAAGAGCCUGUCAUGAUUGCCUGUGCCUCAUGUUUAACACGUAUUGCUUGUUACCGAAUACUACUGUUGUACAUUUAAUAUCUACUAGCAGAUUUCGUCGCAUUUGCACAAAUUCUGUCAUGUUACUGUGGUCUUUUUAAAAGUCAAUAAAUAUGUGUGUAGAGUGUACAUGUUUGUUUCACUGUAGAUCUGUUUAAGACCUCCUAGAAACACCUAAUUAAAGGCCUUUCAUAAAGAGGCGGUCAUGAUUGCAUGUGCCUCAUGUUUAACACGUAUUGCUUAUUACAGAAUACUACUGUUGUACAUUUAAUAUCCCCUAGCAGAUUUCGUUGCCUUUGCACAAAUUCUGUCAUGUUACUGUGGUCUUUUUAAAUGUCAAUAAAUAUGUGUGUAAAGUGUA